rnacentral:lncRNA from 1 species
CCAACUCAGUCUGGCUCCUGCUCCCUGUUGAAUCUCCUAUCCAUUCGACAUUUCAGCAAAGAAUGAAAUUGCCCCUUCCAUGUACAUUUCCAUUCCUCUUUUUAAACUUUCUAUUGCAAUACUAUGUGCCAAUCUGUUGGUUGUUCUAUAUAUAUAUUUAAAUCACACUUCGUUGAACUCUGCCUUGUUGCGUUGAAUAUCUCUGAUUAUGUUCCCUAUUUCUGAUCUAUCUCUGUUGAGUUGUAUUUCUUAAUGUCUGCUAAUGAGUAACCUUCAAUCUCCACUAUAUUUACCCAAAAUCUCCUUCCCAACGCCGUUGCUUGAGAGUAUGCCCAAAGAUCCCCAUCUUCUUACAGUAUGUUUUAUAAUAAAUAAAACUUGGUGGGCCAUAAAAGGUUGAAAGG